UACGUAGGGGGCAAGCGUUGUCCGGAAUUAUUGGGCGUAAAGGGCGCGCAGGCGGUUCUUUAAGUUGGGUGUAAAAGGCAGUGGCUCAACCACUGUAGGCACGCAAAACUGGAGGACUUGAGUGCAGGAGAGGGGAGUGGAAUUCCCGGUGUAGCGGUGGAAUGCGUAGAGAUCGGGAGGAACACCAGUGGCGAAGGCGGCUCUCUGGCCUGCAACUGACGCUGAGGCGCGAAAGCGUGGGUAGCAAACAGGAUUAGAUACCCCGGUAGU
rnacentral:rRNA from 1 species